rnacentral:rRNA from 1 species
UACGGAGGGGGCUAGCGUUGUUCGGAAUCACUGGGCGUAAAGCGCGCGCAGGCGGCGAUCUACGUCUGGGGUGAAAGCCCGGAGCUCAACUCCGGGACUGCCUUGGAUACGGGAUCGCUUGAGGAUUGGAGAGGCAAGGGGAAUUCCACGUGUAGCGGUGAAAUGCGUAGAUAUGUGGAGGAACACCUGUGGCGAAGGCGCCUUGCUGGCCAAUUUCUGACGCUGAGGCGCGAAAGCGUGGGGAGCAAACAGG